rnacentral:rRNA from 1 species
UCAACUUGAGAGUUUGAUCCUGGCUCAGAACGAACGCUGGCGGCAGGCCUAACACAUGCAAGUCGAGCGCUACCUUCGGGUGGAGCGGCGGACGGGUUAGUAACGCGUGGGAACAUACCCUUUUCUAAGGAAUAGCCACUGGAAACGGUGAGUAAUACCUUAUAAGCCCUUCGGGGGAAAGAUUUAUCGGUAAAGGAUUGGCCCGCGUUAGAUUAGAUAGUUGGUGGGGUAAUGGCCUACCAAGUCUACGAUCU